rnacentral:rRNA from 1 species
AUAUACGACCGUACCGCAAACCGACACUGGUGCGCGAGAUGAGUAUUCUAAGGCGCUUGAGAGAACUCAGGAGAAGGAACUCGGCAAAUUGACACCGUAACUUUGGAAGAAGGUGUGCCCUAUUAGUGUGUAGUGAACAACGAAGCAUGAAUGGGUUGCAAAAAAUCGGUGGCUGCGACUGUUUAUUAAAAACACAGCACUCUGCAAACACGAAAGUGGACGUAUAGGGUGUGACGCCUGCCCGGUGCUGGAAGAUUAAAUGAUGGGGUGCAAGCUCUUGAUUGAAGUCCCAGUAAACGGCGGCCGUAACGAUAACGGUCCUAAGGUAGCGAAAUUCCUUGUCGGGUAAGUUCCGACCUGCACGAAUGGCGUAACGAUGGCCACACUGUCUCCUCCUGAGACUCAGCGAAGUUGAAAUGUUUGUGAUGAUGCAAUCUCCCCGCGGAAAGACGGAAAGACCCCAUGAACCUUUACUGUAGCUUUGUAUUGGACUUUGAACAGAUCUGUGUAGGAUAGGUGGGAGGCUUUGAAGCAGGGUCGCUAGAUCUUGUGGAGCCAACGUUGAAAUACCACCCUGGUGUGUUUGAGGUUCUAACCUAGGUCCAUUAUCUGGAUCGGGGACAGUGCAUGGUAGGCAGUUUGACUGGGGCGGUCUCCUCCCAAAGCGUAACGGAGGAGUUCGAAGGUACGCUAGUUACGGUCGGACAUCGUGACGAUAGUGCAAUGGCAUAAGCGUGCUUAACUGCGAGACUGACAAGUCGAGCAGAUGCGAAAGCAGGACAUAGUGAUCCGGUGGUUCUGUAUGGAAGGGCCAUCGCUCAACGGAUAAAAGGUACUCUGGGGAUAACAGGCUGAUACCGCCCAAGAGUUCAUAUCGACGGCGGUGUUUGGCACCUCGAUGUCGGCUCAUCUCAUCCUGGGGCUGUAGCCGGUCCCAAGGGUAUGGCUGUUCGCCAUUUAAAGAGGUACGUGAGCUGGGUUUAAAUCGUCGUGAGACAGUUUGGUCCCUAUCUUCCGUGGGCGCUGCAGAUUUGAGGAAGCCUGCUCCUAGUACGAGAGGACCGGAGUGGACACACCUCUGGUGUAUCGGUUGUCACGCCAGUGGCAUUGCCGAGUAGCUAAGUGUGGAAGAGAUAACCGCUGAAAGCAUCUAAGCGGGAAACUCGUUUCAAGAUGAGAUCUGCCGGGGCCUUGAGCCCCCUAAAGAGUCGUUCAAGACCAGGACGUUGAUAGGUCAGGUGUGGAAGC